rnacentral:tRNA from 1 species
ACCUUCGUGGUGUAGUGGUCAGCACGCUCGACGCGUAACCGAGAGGUCCGUGGUUCGAUUCCCGGCAAAGGCG